CUUCGCUCACCAUAGUGGAAACGUGUUCGAUGCCGCGCGGCCAGAUGCGCCGUUGUUCGCGUAAGCAUACGGUAAAUUCCAACUUGGCCGAACUCUAAACGUAACCUCGCGUGGAAAGCUGACGCUGCCAGUCCGCGAAUGCGGAGAAAAGUGAAUGGAACGGCUGGCGGAGAAAGGAAAAGCAACUGACUCGAAAUAUGUAUUCCGGCACAGUGGCGUUCGGAGAAGUUUCGAAACGACUUCGCACCCAACAUCCAAACGUUUGUGCUGAGUUACGAGACUGUUACACCGCGGAUACAGCUAGUAAAUUCGAGAGAUCGGAGCACAUAUCAAGUGCCGCUAUCCCAUUGGUGGCAAAGACGCCAACUACAUUACCGCCUGAAGACCGCUACGUUACGG
rnacentral:misc_RNA from 1 species